AGCGAACGCUGGCGGCAGGCCUAACACAUGCAAGUCGAACGGAUCCUUCGGGAUUAGUGGCGGACGGGUGAGUAACACGUGGGAACGUGCCCUUUGGUUCGGCACAACUCAGGGAAACUUGUGCUAAUACCGGAUGUGCCCUUCGGGGGAAAGAUUUAUCGCCAUUGGAGCGGCCCGCGUCUGAUUAGCUUGUUGUUGAGGUAACGGCCCACCAAGGCGCCGAUCAGUAGCUGGUUUGAGAGGAUGAUCAGCCACACUGGGAGUGAGACCCGGCCCAGACUCCUACGGGAGGCAGCAGUGGGGAAUCUUGCGCAAUGGGCGAAAGCCUGAAGCAGCCAUGCCGCGUGAAUGAUGAAGGUCUGAGGAUUGUAAAAUUCUUUCAGCGGGGACGAUAAUGACGGUACCCGCAGAAGAAGCUCCGGCUAACUUCGUG
rnacentral:rRNA from 1 species